GGAUCCAGACUUUGAUCCUGGCUCAGGAUGAACGCUGGCGGCGUGCCUAACACAUGCAAGUCGAACGGAACUUUAACGGAACAAGGCUUCGGCCAAGUGAAAUUAAAGUUUAGUGGCGGACGGGUGAGUAACGCGUGAGUAACCUGCCUUUCACAGGGGGAUAACGUUUGGAAACGAACGCUAAUACCGCAUAAUACAGCAGAGUCGCAUGGCUCAGCUGUCAAAGAUUUUAUCGGUGAAAGAUGGACUCGCGUCCGAUUAGGUAGUUGGUGAGGUAACGGCUCACCAAGCCGACGAUCGGUAGCCGGACUGAGAGGUUGAACGGCCACAUUGGGACUGAGACACGGCCCAGACUCCUACGGGAGGCAGCAGUGGGGAAUAUUGCACAAUGGGCGCAAGCCUGAUGCAGCAACGCCGCGUGAGGGAAGACGGUUUUCGGAUUGUAAACCUCUGUCUUUGGUGACGAAGAAGUGACGGUAGCCAAGGAGGAAGCCACGGCUAACUACGUGCCAGCAGCCGCGGUAAUACGUAGGUGGCAAGCGUUAUCCGGAAUUACUGGGUGUAAAGGGAGCGCAGGCGGGAUAGCAAGUCAGCGGUGAAAUGCAUGGGCUUAACUCAUGAGCUGCCGUUGAAACUGUUAUUCUUGAGUGGAGUAGAGGCAGGCGGAAUUCCGAGUGUAGCGGUGAAAUGCGUAGAUAUUCGGAGGAACACCAGUGGCGAAGGCGGCCUGCUGGGCUCUAACUGACGCUGAGGCUCGAAAGUGUGGGGAGCAAACAGGAUUAGAUACCCUGGUAGUCCACACUGUAAACGAUGAUUGCUAGGUGUGGGGGGUCUGACCCCCUCCGUGCCGGAGUUAACGCAAUAAGCAAUCCACCUGGGGAGUACGGCCGCAAGGUUGCAACUCAAAUGAAUUGACGG
rnacentral:rRNA from 1 species